AUGAUUAUUCGGCACCUCGAUCCGUUUUGCUGUCCAUCUGAGUUCCCACACUAUGUGAGCUGUGUGUCAAUAUCCAGGAGCAAACAACAGUCCAACUGACUUCCUCAGUGUCCUCCUGCUAAAUGUGUGUCUGCAUACUCAGCAUGAUGAUUAUUCGGCACCUUGAUCAGUUUUGCUGUCCAUCUGAGUUCCCACACUAUGUAAGCCAUGUGUGAAUAUCCAGGAGCAAACAACAGUCCAACUGACCUCUUCAGUGUCCUGCAGCUAAAUCAGUGUCUGUACUCAGGCCUAUUUAAGCCCAUCUGUCCACAUCCAUUCUCACACAUCGAAGUUUCCUUGACUGUUGAGCCGACUGCAUCUCUUCUGAGGCAUGAUGAUGAUGAUGAUGAUGAUGAUCUUCACUCUCUGCAGCCUGUCCCUCUCUGCCCAUGGUUUGGCUAUCCGUCCACCUUGGCGUCCUCAAUGACAUUGUGCCUCCACCAUGGCUACAAGACGAUUACCCUCCAGGAGAUUUUGGGCUUAAGGGCCUACCACAGCCACCAAGAAGUCUUGUGGUUGACUGUACUGUCUGGGAGGCUGAACCUGAAGAAGGUGUGGUGGAUGACAGCUGUGCCUUAAUGGAAGACCCUCUAUGCACCCUUGAUGGACACACUGAACAGAACGAGUGCAUGUUAUGCUUGGAUGUAGAUCAAGACCAUGUCAAGAUCGCCCAUUGGGGAGAAUGCAAAUGAGUCUAAACGCAAAGAGUCUGUCUGCUUGCUGCUUGCAGAGAUCAGAGUGUGUGAAACAGCUGAUCCAGUAUCUGCCAACGAAGCAGUAAGCCAAUAAA